GACGUAGGGGGCCAGCGUUGUUCGGAAUUACUGGGUGUAAAGGGUGCGUAGGAGGGCAGGUAAGUCAGUGGUGAAAUCUUUGGGCUUAACCCGAAAACUGCCAUUGAUACUAUCUGUCUUGAAUGCGGUGGAGGUGAGCGGAAUAUGUCAUGUAGCGGUGAAAUGCUUAGAUAUGACAUAGAACACCGAUUGCGAAGGCAGCUCGCUACACCUGCAUUGACUCUGAGGCACGAAAGCGUGGGGAUCAAACAGG
rnacentral:rRNA from 1 species